UACGUAGGGUGCAAGCGUUUGUCCGGAAUUAUUGGGCGUAAAGAGCUCGUAGGCGGUCUGUCGCGUCUGCUGUGAAAACUCAGGGCUUAACCCUGAGCUUGCAGUGGGUACGGGCAGACUAGAGUGCGGUAGGGGAGACUGGAAUUCCCGGUGUAGCGGUGAAAUGCGCAGAUAUCAGGAGGAACACCGGUGGCGAAGGCGGGUCUCUGGGCCGUAGCUGACGCUGAGGAGCGAAAGCAUGGGGGAGCGAACAGG
rnacentral:rRNA from 1 species